ACACCAGGCGGCGCUACGGUCGCAGCCAUUACCGAACGACCCAAGUUACAUUUUUUCGAAUGUCAAAAUCAAAGCAAACAGCUGAUGAUAUAUUUACAUUUUGUGUUGAGAUUUCGUUCCAGUGCGUGCAAUAAAAAAGCAAAUUGUGUGUAAUUUAAGUUGAGUUUGCGUCUGAUAUUUUCAUUAACGAUGGUAAGUAGACACACAUGUUCGAAAAGACAACUUUGUGUUUGUUUUAGAUGUUAACACAUUACGGCGGAGUGGUGCGGAGCAAAGGCAUGCAAAGGCAAAAGAGGAGCAAAGGCAAAGGCGACCGGUCAACCAGAUAUGCUUUUAGCUUUCCUCUGGACCAUUGAAGAUUGGAUUGCUAAAUCGGAUGUAUGGAGUGCGGACGAUGUGUGUGCAGUUGCGAUGGAGCACGAAAGCAAUUGUCAAGCGGAUGCUGCAACAUUGUCGACAACAGAUGCUGUACAGCAGCCUUCCGAGCUGUUAAAUGUCCAGGACAAAUAGAUGCUAUAGCAAAGAGAAAAAGCUCAGAAACUGCAUCAUUGCAUCGGAAACAAGGACAAACGGAAGACUGGUGCUAGCUGUUGCUUUCCAUGGUAGUUUUCUUAAUCCAUUUUUCUUUCAACCAUGUUUUCUUUAAACCAUUUUUCUUUCAACCGUUUUUC